rnacentral:rRNA from 1 species
GAUGAACGCUGGCGGCGUGCCUAAUACAUGCAAGUCGAGCGAACGGACGAGAAUCUUGCUUCUCUGAUGUUAGCGGCGGACGGGUGAGUAACACGUGGAUCACCUCCCUAUCAUUCUGGUAUAACUUCGGGAAACCGUAGCUAAUACCGUGUAAUCUUUUGCACCGCAUGGUUCAAAAGUGAAAGACGGUCUUUCUGUCUCUUCUAGCUGCAUCCGCGCUGCAUUAGCUAGUUGGUAAGGUAACGGCUUACCAAGGCAACGAUGCAUAGCCGACCUGAGAGGGUGAUCGGGCACACUGGAACUGAGACACGGUCCAGACUCCUACGGGAGGCAGCAGUAGGGAAUCUUCCGCAAUGGGCGAAAGCCUGACGGAGCAACGCCGCGUGAGUGAUGAAGGUCUUCGGAUCGUAAAACUCUGUUAUUAGGGAAGAACAUAUGUGUAAGUAACUGUGCACAUCUUGACGGUACCUAAUCAGAAAGCCACGGCUAACUACGUG